rnacentral:rRNA from 1 species
AUUGAACGCUGGCGGCAUGCCUAACACAUGCAAGUCGAACGGGGCGCUUCGGCGCCUAGUGGCGGACGGGUGAGUAAAGCGUAGGAAUCUGCCUUGUAGUGGGGGACAACCUGGGGAAACGUCAGGCUAAUACCGCAUACGCUCGCGAGAGGAAGCGGGGGAUCUUCGGACCUCGCGCCGCAAGAAGAGCCUACGUCCGAUUAGCUAGUUGGUAGGGUAAAAGCCUACCAAAGGCGACGAUCGGUAGCUGGUCUAGAGAGGAUGAUCAGCCACACUGGGACUGAGACACGGCCCAGACUCCUAACGGGAGGCAGCAGUGGGGAAUAAUUGGACAAUGGGCGCAAGCCUGAUCCAGCAAUUGCCGCGU